AGAGUUUGAUCAUGGCUCAGAUUGAACGCUGGCGGCAUGCCUUACACAUGCAAGUCGAACGGCAGCACGGGGGCAACCCUGGUGGCGAGUGGCGAACGGGUGAGUAAUACAUCGGAACGUGUCCUGGAGUGGGGGAUAGCCCGGCGAAAGCCGGAUUAAUACCGCAUACGCUCUGAGGAGGAAAGCGGGGGAUCUUCGGACCUCGCGCUCAAGGGGCGGCCGAUGGCAGAUUAGCUAGUUGGUGGGGUAAAGGCCUACCAAGGCGACGAUCUGUAGCUGGUCUGAGAGGACGACCAGCCACACUGGGACUGAGACACGGCCCAGACUCCUACGGGAGGCAGCAGUGGGGAAUUUUGGACAAUGGGCGCAAGCCUGAUCCAGCAAUGCCGCGUGUGUGAAGAAGGCCUUCGGGUUGUAAAGCACUUUUGUCCGGAAAGAAAACAUAUGCACUAAUACUGUGUGUGGAUGACGGUACCGGAAGAAUAAGCACCGGCUAACUACGUGCCAGCAGCCGCGGUAAUACGUAGGGUGCAAGCGUUAAUCGGAAUUACUGGGCGUAAAGCGUGCGCAGGCGGUUCGCUAAGACAGAUGUGAAAUCCCCGGGCUUAACCUGGGAACUGCAUUUGUGACUGGCGGGCUAGAGUAUGGCAGAGGGGGGUAGAAUUCCACGUAGCAGUGAAAUGCGUAGAGAUGUGGAGGAAUACCGAUGGCGAAGGCAGCCCCCUGGGCCAAUACUGACGCUCAUGCACGAAAGCGUGGGGAGCAAACAGGAUUAGAUACCCUAGUAGUCC
rnacentral:rRNA from 1 species